GACGAACGCUGGCGGCGUGCUUAACACAUGCAAGUCAAGGGGGCCCGCAAGGGUAACCGGCGAACGGGUGCGUAACACGUGAGCAAUCUGCCUAGAUGUGGGGGAUAGCCGGCCCAACGGCCGGGUAAUACCGCAUACGCUCGUCGACUGGCAUCAGUUGACGAGGAAACUUUCGAGGCAUCUAGAGGAGCUCGCGGCCUAUCAGCUAGUUGGUGGGGUAACGGCCUACCAAGGCGGUGACGGGUAGCUGGUCUGAGAGGAUGGCCAGCCACAUUGGGACUGAGAUACGGCCCAGACUCCUACGGGAGGCAGCAGUGGGGAAUAUUGCGCAAUGGCCGAAAGGCUGACGCAGCGACGCCGCGUGGGGGAUGAAGCAUUUCGGUGUGUAAACCCCUGUUGCUCGGGACGAACAAGCCUUUUCGAGGGCUCUGACGGUACCGAGUGAGGAAGCACCGGCUAACUCCGUGCCAGCAGCCGCGGUAAU
rnacentral:rRNA from 1 species